UACUGAGCGGCGGACGGGAAGGUAACGCGUGGGUAACCGUGCCUCAUACAGGGGGAUAACAGUUGGAAACGGCUGCUAAUACCGCAUAAGCGCACAGUACCGCAUGGUACGGUGUGAAAAACUCCGGUGGUAUGAGAUGGACCCGCGUCUGAUUAGGUAGUUGGUGGGGUAACGGCCUACCAAGCCGACGAUCAGUAGCCGACCUGAGAGGGUGACCGGCCACAUUGGGACUGAGACACGGCCCAA
rnacentral:rRNA from 1 species